GCUUUGUACAAAGAUAUUUAGCAACUCCAGGCAUUCUUUCAAGAUUAUGAACUUAUGUAUACAAUAUUUCACCUUUACGGCGUGUAAUAAAGGACGAAACAAACUUCAAUUUUCAAGACAGAACAAUGGACAUACUGUAGUGAAAGAUACUUGGAUGUAAUGGUAUUUCAAAGAUAUUUGGAUGGUAAACCAAAAACUAUCAAAUACUUAAUAGUGAGUAUAAAAUAUAUAUUUAAACAAUGCUAUAAUUAAUACCAUAUACUAUAGAGUAAUUAAUAGCACAUUAGUUUUCUUUUCGUGUAAAACUACACAAUCCACUGCCUCCUCAUCUCAUUGUUCUCAGAAUUGCUGCAUUGGUUCAGUGCAUUUCAGAUUUGCUUUAAAACAUGAGCAUGUUUUUGUUUGACAAGUCUUUUUGCAUUCACAAUUUCACAACUUAACAAAUUUUAUAAAGACGCUGUGUGCUCUGGAGCAGGGCCCCUGAGUCCCCCAUGUGGGCCAUGUACAGGCGUUGGAAAAAGUAUCAGACCUCAGGACCAAAAAUUUAGACAAAAGAAGAAUUUCAGAGGGGAAAUUGUAACCAAUAGAAAGAAUGUUACCUGUUCUGUAGGAGUAAGCUCAAAAAUGCAACUAUAACAUAACUAUAACAUAUAACAUAUGACAUAAGAAAUGUUGCAUGGGAUAUUAAUUUUUAGCCAAUCUGGGGCACUUGAUCUUUUCAAAAUAUUCUGGGCAUUGUCUCCUUCAUAGCUGCUCUUUGUGUUGAGAUUUCUCCUCAUGAGCAGCUGCUCACUCGAGCACACCAUUCUAUAAAGAUGCUGUCAGCUCCAGAUGGAGCAGGUCUUUGGGUCUCCCAUGUACAGGGGGUGGAAAAAGUGUCAGACCACGGGACCAAAAUUUAGACUAAAGGAGAAAUGCAGAGGGAAAUUUGUAGGAAUAAGAGCUCAAAAAUGCGACUAUAAGUGCAUCCAUCUUCAUUCAUAGUGUGAUAGUGCAUAAAUGUAUAGAUUAUAGAGUGACAUAACAAAUGUUGCAUGGGAUAUUCAUUUUUAGCCAAUCUGGUGUACUUGAUAGAUUAUUGAAAGGGUACUUGAUAGAGAUGAAUGGUUAUCACUGUUUCAAUUUUAAAGGAAAACUUUCUUACCAAGUGUAGACCCUGAACAACCAAAAAAUGUCAAAUUUUUAGUUUCAUCUAUCAUUGAAACUUCAAGGGGAGGUGCAUAUGACGUUUUAGGAGAGGUGCAAAAAUUCUCAGGGGAGGUGCAAAACUAUUUCAGGGGAGGUGCCCACCUCAAAAUCCGGCUAUGGAAAGCAGAUUUACAAUGCAUAGAAUUAUGCCAAUGUGAAAAUAUGGAAAGCAGAGAACUUUUGUGAUAUUGAUACAUGAGACAAAAGGAAUGGAAUGUUGUCCUCAAAUGAGCAACUCUUCAUGGGGAGAAUCCUCGACACAAAGAGCAGCUUAAAGGAGACAAUGCUCCCCAAAAUAUUUUUGAAAACCAAGUGCCCCAGACUGGCUAAAAAUGCAUUUGCCAGGCAACAUUUGUUACAUUAAUUAACAUACAGUUAUGAUGUGUGAUAUCCACCAAAAUUCAUAUUAUUCAACUAUGCAUUUGGAAAUUGCAUUUAAGGAGUUC